AGCAGUAGCCGCGGUAAUACGAAGGGGGCUAGCGUUGUUCGGAAUUACUGGGCGUAAAGCGCACGUAGGCGGACUCUUAAGUCAGGGGUGAAAUCCCGGGGCUCAACCCCGGAACUGCCUUUGAUACUGGGAGUCUUGAGUUCGAGAGAGGUGAGUGGAAUUGCGAGUGUAGAGGUGAAAUUCGUAGAUAUUCGCAGGAACACCAGUGGCGAAGGCGGCUCACUGGCUCGAUACUGACGCUGAGGUGCGAAAGCGUGGGGAGCAAACAGGAUUAGAUACCCCAGUAGUCCCUGUCUCUUAUAC
rnacentral:rRNA from 1 species